UUCCUAUUUUGGUGGGCCGCCAGGUAACACGUUGCUCCCUAGACGCGUCCUUUCAUCUCAUCCCCGAGAGGAGCCGCCGCCGCCGCCGAGAGGAAACGCCCCAGCCCCGAGAGGAGCCGCCGCCGCUGCCGGGGAACGAGAGGAGCCGCCACCUCCAGGUCGCCGCCGUCACACACCGCCUCCUCCAUGUCGCCGCUGUCACACACCGCCUCCUCCAGGUCACCGCCGUUGCACACUACCUCAGGUCUGUUGAUCUCUCUCCUCGCCACUCCUCACUGCCAGCCCCACACAGCUCUGCCUCCAUGGCGGGGAUUCGCUCUAUGGCGUUCAAGAGAGGUGGCUGCAUCCACCAUGCCGCCGAUCCGGUCCUUGCUGCUGGAUCCAUACCUCUCCACCCCUCCUCCUGGUCUGAUCCAAUGGCGUUCGCACAAUGUCGAUCUCCCGGAUAGCGUGAGGUCCUAGCGGCAACGUCAGGCCCCUUGCGAUUGGGGUCAAUUUGAGGUGGCUCCGGUGGAAACGUGGAACACAUCCCAAUGUUACAGGGGCUCUCGAGGCGGCAUCCAGUUGCUCUGCGCGCGGGGGCUAUUUUCACCUCUGUUUGCUUUUGCGUUCGUUGUCCGUGCUCAAUCUCUGCCGCUGGUGGUGCAAGCUCCGCAUGCACUCAUUCGAGCUUGCCGAGCAGUCUGCACUAAAGCAAACUUACUGGUCGUCCUUUUCCUUUCCAGUUUGAGAUAGACAGAAGUACUUCCAAACUUAUUUGAAUUUUAGUUUGUGUAUGUGUUGUUCGUUCGUUGUAGUUGCUGCUGUUCAAAUCUCAGCACCAUUAUAUAGUACCAUCCAUUCUCGCUGACACUAAUAGUACUUGGAGAUUUACCAACAAUGGCAGUAGACAUCUUCCUAAACUCUGUUCACACUGUCGGCCCCCAAUUUGUUUCCAUUCCCUGACAUGCAUAAGAUAUCCGCGAUAUUUGUCGAAUUAUUAUUUGCAAGUUUGAAGUACCAAGGCACAAUGGCUGAUAGGGCACUGGAGGAACUGCACACCAUGGUUCAGACACCAACUUCCCUGAUGUGACCAACUCAUCAGUUCAGUGAGCAUUGUAUCCUGUUACUUUUGCCAUAAUUACAUGCAUUUCACUUUUGCAUUGUAUGUGUACUAUUGCAUGGUAGUUGAACACGAAUUUGGCUUACUUGACAUCGUAAAAUAUGGUGGCUACUCUUGGAUCCGGUGAAUCUGGUAGUUCUAUUUAUAUUAUGUAUUGUGGGACUAUUCAGUUCACAACGCUUUCCAAAUACUCAUAUGUGAUUUCUUUUUGAUUUAUACUCAUGCAGAAAAAUAAAGAGCAUCUUGAUUCUUAAAUUCUUGAAGACAGGUGUAGCUAAGGCUGGUUACACUAGAAGAAUUUUUCUGUCUAUACAUAGUUCAUGAUUCAGCCCUUGUCUACUAAUUCAAGUGUGACGGUUGGUCAUUGGACUGGAUGUUGCUGCUUCUGAAUAUUACGGGGAAUGACAUUGUAAGCUUGGUUAGUUUGAUGUCCUACGGAGAAGCAAAAUUGGUUGUGCCCACCGCCAGAAGAUUCAUCUUUGUACUCUCUUCUCCAUUUAUCAGUGCAACGAGAGGCAUAGUUAGUCAUGGUGAUGAUCAUAUUGUAUUCUUGUGAUGCUUGCAGACUGGGAGUGUAUUUAUACUUCAUGCUUAUGAGUUAUGAUGAAUCAUUUCUAUGGCAUUACAUACGGUUAGUGGGAAAAGGUCAUUAGGGACUAGCAUGUUUCACUAUUGUGAUUACAAACUAAAACUUGUGCAAGUAUGAUAAAUGGGUGCAUUGAUCUCUUUUUUGUUGUAGUGCAACACCUUGGAGAUGCACACAAUUUGAUAUUACAGUUCUAUAACAUCUUGGAGAUUCACACAA